GGAAACGGAUACAUCAACUGGGAAUGAAAGCCAAUGCAUAAUUAGGUCCAAGAAAAUUGGAGAGGCUUAAUGCACGCUGUUUGGCUUAUCAUUCUGCACGAGAUUUCUCUACCGCUUAAUCUUUAGCGCCACCCUGAAAAUCGGGAGUUUUGGAACUUCAGAAGACGGGGUUCCUGUGGAUGGCUUCGGCACCAAGCCCUGAGUGCUGUUUGUGCGCAUUUCCCACUACCCGCGCGAACAUUCCCGUGCGUACAUUCCCUUGCAUACAUUCCCGUGCGUAAAUUGAGAAUUUCUUAUCAACUAUUGGAGAGACCAGGUUUUAUUAUCAAGAUCAUAUUCACCCUCAAUAAUGGUAAAAAAAGCGCCAAAGCCCCCGAGACCCCCAAAGCCCACCAAAACACAAGAU